ensembl:rRNA 5S_rRNA 5S ribosomal RNA
GUCUAUGGCCAUACCACCCUGAACAUGCCCGAUCUCGUAUGAUCUCGGGAAUUAAGCAAGGUCGGGCCUGGUUAGUACUUGGAGGGGAGAAAAUAAAUGCUUUAUAAAUGUUUGUAGGCUGGGCGCGAUGGCUC